ACGGCUCAGUAACACGUGGACAACCUACCCUAAGGAGGGGGAUAACCCCGGGAAACUGGGGAUAAUACCCCAUAGACUAGAGAAGCUGGAAUGCUCUCAAGUCCAAAGGUCCGCCGCCUUAGGAUGGGUCUGCGGUCGAUUAGGUUGUUGUUGGGGUAACGGCCCAACAAGCCCGUGAUCGAUACGGGUUGUGAGAGCAAGAGCCCGGAGAUGGAUUCUGAGACACGAAUCCAGGCCCUACGGGGCGCAGCAGGCGCGAAAACUUUACAAUGCGGGAAACCGUGAUAAGGGAACCCCGAGUGCCCGUAAAUUCGGGCUGUCCAUCAGCGUAAAUAACUGGUGAAGAAAGGGCCGGGCAAGACCGGUGCCAGCCGCCGCGGUAAUACCGGCGGCUCGAGUGGUGGCCACUAUUAUUGGGCUUAAAGCGUCCGUAGCUUGGUUGUUAAGUCUCUUGGGAAAUCUACCGGCUCAACCGGUAGGCGUUCAGGAGAUACUGGCAAUCUAGGGACCGGGAGAGGUGAGAGGUACUCCAGGGGUAGGAGUGAAAUCCUGUAAUCCUUGGGGGACCACCUGUGGCGAAGGCGUCUCACUAGAACGGCUCCGACAGUGAGGGACGAAAGCUGGGGGAGCAAACCGGAUUAGAUACCCGGGUAGUCCCAGCUGUAAACGAUGCGCGUUAGGUGUAUCGGUGACCACGAGUCACCGAGGUGCCGAAGGGAAACCGUGAAACGUGCCGCCUGGGAAGUACGGUCGCAAGGCUGAGACUUAAAGGAAUUGGCGGGGGAGCAC
rnacentral:rRNA from 1 species